rnacentral:misc_RNA from 1 species
GAAAAAUUCAAAAACAAUCAGCAAUCUCCAUGGUCGACUAGCGAUGAAGAUCUAAGAGACUGCAUUUCCUAAUGUUGUUGAUGUAGCAGUUUUUAUAACUAGGAAAUACGAAGACGCUAAUCUGGUAAUUCGUAUAAGAUGAGAGAUCAAAAAAUGUUGUCAUAACCUCGACAGAAGAAUCGAUAUUGAAGUUGUGAUUGCUGUCGCUGACAAAUAGUACCCUUGAGCUUGCAUUCCCUUCAAAGAAAAAAGCGAAGAUGCAGCUGAAAUAUCUUGCAGCCCAGAGAAACCAACAUCAUAAGAUAUACUACCAUCAGCUUUGAAGAGUCCGAAGUUCUUCUCUGAUGAUUGACCUGGCUUUUGAUACUCAUUGAAGAGUGCAAAAAUAUAUGCCUUCAACAUUUUUUUCGGCCUCAAUGGAGUUCCUUUCCUCUUGGCGAGCCUUUUACGCAGAUUAUAAUUAUAUGUUCUAGCAUUACUUGGGGUGGCAGCAGGUUCAUUCUCAUCCCCAUCAGAGGCCCAGCCUGUUUCCGUAACAAUGACUUCCAUUUUCCUGAAACCAGCAUCCUCUAGAGCUGCAUAUGCUGCAUCAAUCUGAGCAUCGAGCAAGUUGUCAUAAUGUAGAUGAGUUUUAUUGUCAACAAUGCCUUCAUUUGGCUGAAAAAGAGCAUAAUUUAUGUCUAUUUUAUCUGAGUUGUACGUGUAAGCCAAAAAUGGAUAAGCAUUUAGACAGAACGGAGAUCCAAUUUUCGAGAAGAACUCUAAAAGUGGCUUCAUCAACUGAGCAACACCAUCUUUAAAUACACAAUAAGAAGGAGGGAACGAAUCAGCAAAAACAGCCUGCGAGUGUGCAGUCGAUAUCUGAACAACAUCACUUAUCCCAAGCUUUUUUGUUGCAUUGUAUACAUUCUUUACAGCAUUCAGAAGGGCUACCUCCAGUUCAUUGUCACUACCCCCCAAAACCUCAUUUCCAACAGCGAUGCCAACAAUGCGGGUAUCAGGAAGGAAUGCCUUCACAUUAUCUUUUACCCAAGUCAGAGCAUGAUCUGCAUUAGCACUCAUUUCUUUUACAAACCCAUUCGGAAGUCCAACCACUAGCUCAAGCCCU